CAACAGACACCACGUUACAACACAACAGACACCACAACACAGACACCACGUUACAACACAACAGACACCACGUUACAACACAACAGACACCACAACAGACACCACGUUACAACACAACAGACACCACGUUACAACACAACAGACACCACGUUACAACACAACAGACACCACGUUACAACACAACAGACACCACGUUACAACACAACAGACACCACGUUACAACACAACAGACACCACGUUACAACACAACAGACACCACGUUACAACACAACAGACACCACAAUUACAACACAACAGACACCACGUUACAACACAACAGACACCACGUUACAACACAACAGACACCACGUUACAACACAACAGACACCACGUUACAACACAACAGACACCACAACAGACACCACGUUACAACACAACAGACACCACAACACAACAGACACCACGUUACAACACAACAGACACCACGUUACAACACAACAGACACCACGUUACAACACAACAGACACCACGUUACAACACAACAGACACCACGUUACAACACAACAGACACCACAACAGACACCACAUUACAACACAUGAGGCGUUAAGAUAGACCAGUCUAAAUGUUUAGGAUGAACUUUAUUACAGGUUUGUCAGAAAGGGACACACCCCCUGGUACCUUCUCACUGUGGAGGUAGGUUAACACACACCCCCUGGUACCUUCUCACUGUGGAGGUAGGUUAACACACACCCCCUGGUACCUUCUCACUGUGGAGGUAGGUUAACACACACCCCCUGGUACCUUCUCACUGUGGAGGUAGGUUAACACACACCCCCUGGUACCUUCUCACUGUGGAGGUAGGUUAACACACACCCCCUGGUACCUUCUCACUGUGGAGGUAGGUUAACACACACCCCCUGGUACCUUCUCACUGUGGAGGUAGGUUAACACACACCCCCUGGUACCUUCUCACUGUGGAGGUAGGUUAACACACACCCCCUGGUACCUUCUCACUGUGGAGGUAGGUUAACACACACCCCCUGGUACCUUCUCACUGUGGAGGUAGGUUAACACACACCCCCUGGUACCUUCUCACUGUGGAGGUAGGUUAACACACACCCCCUGGUACCUUCUCACUGUGGAGGUAGGUUAACACACACCCCCUGGUACCUUCUCACUGUGGAGGUAGGUUAACACACACCCCC